rnacentral:rRNA from 1 species
GGGCCCGCACAAGCGGUGGAGCAUGUGGUUUAAUUCGAUGAUACGCGAGGAACCUUACCAGGACUUAAAUGUAAGUUGCAUGAUUCAGAAAUGAAUCUUUCUUCGGACUACUUACAAGGUGCUGCAUGGUUGUCGUCAGCUCGUGCCGUGAGGUGUCAGGUUAAGUCCUAUAACGAGCGCAACCCCUAUCGUUAGUUGCCAGCGGAUAAUGCCGGGGACUCUAAAGAAACUGCCUACGCAAGUAGUGAGGAAGGCGGGGACGACGUCAAGUCAUCACGGCCCUUACGUCCUGGGCCACACACGUGCUACAAUGGUAGGUACAGAGGGCAGCCACUACGCGAGUAGGAGCGAAUCUUCAAAGCCGAUCACAGUUCGGAUCGGAGUCUGCAACUCGACUCCGUGAAGCUGGAAUC